rnacentral:rRNA from 1 species
UCGAGGGGCAUCGGGAUUGAAGCUUGCUUCAAUUGCCGGCGACCGGCGCACGGGUGCGUAACGCGUAUGUAACCUACCUAUAACAGGGGCAUAACGCUGAGAAAUUGGUACUAAUUCCCCAUAAUAUUCGGAGAGGCAUCUCUCCGGGUUGAAAACUCCGGUGGUUAUAGAUGGACAUGCGUUGUAUUAGCUAGUUGGUGAGGUAACGGCUCACCAAGGCAACGAUACAUAGGGGGACUGAGAGGUUAACCCCCCACACUGGUACUGAGACACGGACCAGACUCCUACGGGAGGCAGCAGUGAGGAAUAUUGGUCAAUGGACGCAAGUCUGAACCAGCCAUGCCGCGUGCAGGAAGACGGCUCUAUGAGUUGUAAACUGCUUUUGUACGAGGGUAAACUCACCUACGUGUAGGUGACUGAAAGUAUCGUACGAAUAAGGAUCGGCUAACUCCGUGCCAGCAGCCGCGGUAAUACGGAGGAUUCAAGCGUUAUCCGGAUUUAUUGGGUUUAAAGGGUGCGUAGGCGGUUUGAUAAGUUAGAGGUGAAAUCCCGGGGCUUAACUCCGGAACUGCCUCUAAUACUGUUAGACUAGAGAGUAGUUGCGGUAGGCGGAAUGUAUGGUGUAGCGGU